GACGUAGGGGGCAAGCGUUGUCCGGAAUCAUUGGGCGUAAAGCGCUCGUAGGUGGAUCGGUAAGUCUGCAAAGAAAGACCCGGGCUCAACUCGGGGAACGGUGUGGAUACUACCGAUCUUGAGGCAAUCAGAGGAUGAUGGAAUUCCCCGGUGUAGCGGUGAAAAUGCGUAGAUAUCGGGGAGGAACACCAGUGGCGAAGGCGAUCAUCUGGGGUUGUUCUGACACUGAGGAGCGAAAGCUAGGGGAGCAAACGGG
rnacentral:rRNA from 1 species